CCUACGGGCGGCAGCAGUGGGGAAUAUUGGGCAAUGGGCGCAAGCCUGACCCAGCAACGCCGCGUGAAGGAAGAAGGCUCUCGGGUUGUAAACUUCUUUUAUCAGGGACGAAGCAAGUGACGGUACCUGAUGAAUAAGCCACGGCUAACUACGGGCCAGCAGCCGCGGUAAUACGUAGGGGGCAAGCGUUAUCCGGAUUUACUGGGUGUAAAGGGCGUGUAGGCGGGAAAGCAAGUCAGAUGUGAAAACCAUGGGCUCAACCUGUGGCCUGCAUUUGAAACUGUUUUUCUUGAGUACUGGAGAGGCAGACGGAAUUCCUAGUGUAGCGGUGAAAUGCGUAGAUAUUAGGAGGAACACCAGUGGCGAAGGCGAUCUGCUGGACAGCAACUGACGCUGAGGCGCGAAAGCGUGGGGAGCAAACAGGAUUAGAUACCCCGGUAGUC
rnacentral:rRNA from 1 species